GUGAGGAAUAUUGCACAAUGGGCGGAAGCCUGAUGCAGCAACGCCGCGUGAGGGACGAAGGCCUUCGGGUCGUAAACCUCUUUUCUGAGGGACGAGUAAGGACGGUACCUCAGGAAUAAGUCUCGGCUAACUACGUGCCAGCAGCCGCGGUAAAACGUAGGAGGCGAGCGUUAUCCGGAUUUACUGGGCGUAAAGCGUACGCAGGUGGCUUCGUGAGUCGGACAUGAAAGCUCCUGGCUUAACUGGGAGAGGUUGUUCGAUACUGCGGGGCUUGAGGUUGGGAGAGGGACGUGGAAUUCCCGGUGUAGUGGUGGAAUGCGUAGAUAUCGGGAGGAACACCAGUGGCGCAAGCGGCGUCCUGGCCCACACCUGACGCUGAGGUACGAAAGCGUGGGUAGCAAACAGGAUUAGAUACCCCAGUAGUCC
rnacentral:rRNA from 1 species